GCGAUGAGCUUGUUUGCAUAAGACGCACAAGUACUCCUUAUAGGAACACGUUGUGGAGCGUGACUUGGACGCCGCAAAUUUCGGGAAGCACUCUGUCUUUUAAGCCAGGGUGC
rnacentral:sRNA from 1 species